rnacentral:rRNA from 1 species
AAAUUGAAGAGUUUGAUCAUGGCUCAGAUUGAACGCUGGCGGCAGGCCUAACACAUGCAAGUCGAACGGUAACAGGAAGCGCUUGCUGCUUCGCUGACGAGUGGCGGACGGGUGAGUAAUGUCUGGGAAACUGCCUGAUGGAGGGGGAUAACUA